GACGAACGCUGGCGGCGUGCCUAAUACAUGCAAGUCGAACGCUUUUUCUUUCACCGGAGCUUGCUCCACCGAAAGAAAAAGAGUGGCGAACGGGUGAGUAACACGUGGGUAACCUGCCCAUCAGAAGGGGAUAACACUUGGAAACAGGUGCUAAUACCGUAUAACACUAUUUUCCGCAUGGAAGAAAGUUGAAAGGCGCUUUUGCGUCACUGAUGGAUGGACCCGCGGUGCAUUAGCUAGUUGGUGAGGUAACGGCUCACCAAGGCAACGAUGCAUAGCCGACCUGAGAGGGUGAUCGGCCACACUGGGACUGAGACACGGCCCAGACUCCUACGGGAGGCAGCAGUAGGGAAUCUUCGGCAAUGGACGAAAGUCUGACCGAGCAACGCCGCGUGAGUGAAGAAGGUUUUCGGAUCGUAAAACUCUGUUGUUAGAGAAGAACAAGGAUGAGAGUAGAACGUUCAUCCCUGGAC
rnacentral:rRNA from 1 species